rnacentral:rRNA from 1 species
UACGAAGGGGGCUAGCGUUGCUCGGAAUCACUGGGCGUAAAGCGCACGUAGGCGGAUUGUUAAGUCAGGGGUGAAAUCCUGGAGCUCAACUCCAGAACUGCCUUCGAUACUGGGAGUCUUGAGUUCGGGAGAGGUGGAGUGGAACUGCGAGUGUAGAGGUGAAAUUCGUAGAUAUUCGCAAAGAACACCAGUGGCGAAGGCGGCUCACUGGACCGGCAUUGACGCUGAGGUGCGAAA